rnacentral:rRNA from 1 species
AAUCCAUAGGUUAAUGAGGCGAACCGGGGGAACUGAAACAUCUAAGUACCCCGAGGAAAAGAAAUCAACCGAGAUUCCCCCAGUAGCGGCGAGCGAACGGGGAGGAGCCCAGAGCCUGAAUCAGCAUGUGUGUUAGUGGAAGCGUCUGGAAAGGCGCGCGAUACAGGGUGACAGCCCCGUACACAAAAGCGCAUGUGCUGUGAGCUCGAUGAGUAGGGCGGGACACGUGGUAUCCUGUCUGAAUAUGGGGGGACCAUCCUCCAAGGCUAAAUACUCCUGACUGACCGAUAGUGAACCAGUACCGUGAGGGAAAGGCGAAAAGAACCCCGGCGAGGGGAGUGAAAAAGAACCUGAAACCGUGUACGUACAAGCAGUGGGAGCACAGGUUUACCUGUGUGACUGCGUACCUUUUGUAUAAUGGGUCAGCGACUUAUAUUCUGUAGCAAGGUUAACCGAAUAGGGGAGCCGGAGGGAAACCGAGUCUUAAUUGGGCGUUAAGUUGCAGGGUAUAGACCCGAAACCCGGUGAUCUAGCCAUGGGCAGGUUGAAGGUUGGGUAACACUAACUGGAGGACCGAACCGACUAAUGUUGAAAAAUUAGCGGAUGACCUGUGGCUGGGGGUGAAAGGCCAAUCAAACCGGGAGAUAGCUGGUUCUCCCCGAAAGCUAUUUAGGUAGCGCCUCGUGAAUUCAUCUCCGGGGGUAGAGCACUGUUUCGGCUAGGGGGCCAUCCCGGCUUACCAACCCGAUGCAAACUGCGAAUACCGGAGAAUGUUAUCACGGGAGACACACGGCGGGUGCUAACGUCCGUCGUGAAGAGGGAAACAACCCAGACCGCCAGCUAAGGUCCCAAAGUCAUGGUUAAGUGGGAAACGAUGUGGGAAGGCCCAGACAGCCAGGAUGUUGGCUUAGAAGCAGCCAUCAUUUAAAGAAAGCGUAAUAGCUCACUGGUCGAGUCGGCCUGCGCGGAAGAUGUAACGGGGCUAAACCAUGCACCGAAGCUGCGGCAGCGAACGUAUCACCCAAGACAACUUUACGGAGUUGACGAUUGACGGAGCGAAGCGACGUCAAAGCGUUCAUUAAAGUCGAGUUGGCUUAGGGAUACGUUCGUUGGGUAGGGGAGCGUUCUGUAAGCCUGUGAAGGUGUGUCGUGAGGCAUGCUGGAGGUAUCAGAAGUGCGAAUGCUGACAUAAGUAACGAUAAAGCGGGUGAAAAGCCCGCUCGCCGGAAGACCAAGGGUUCCUGUCCAACGUUAAUCGGGGCAGGGUGAGUCGACCCCUAAGGCGAGGCCGAAAGGCGUAGUCGAUGGGAAACGGGUUAAUAUUCCCGUACUUGGUGUUACUGCGAAGGGGGGACGGAGAAGGCUAUGUUGGCCGGGCGACGGUUGUCCCGGUUUAAGCGUGUAGGUGUGUGUUCCAGGUAAAUCCGGUUCACUUUAACACUGAGGCGUGACGACGAGGCACUACGGUGCUGAAGCAACAAAUGCCCUGCUUCCAGGAAAAGCCUCUAAGCAUCAGGUAACAUCAAAUCGUACCCCAAACCGACACAGGUGGUCAGGUAGAGAAUACCAAGGCGCUUGAGAGAACUCGGGUGAAGGAACUAGGCAAAAUGGUGCCGUAACUUCGGGAGAAGGCACGCUGACACGUAGGUGAAGUGAUUUACUCA